rnacentral:sRNA from 1 species
GGGUUAUAUGCCUUUAUUGUCACGUUUUAUUUUUCGUUGGAGAGUUGUCCCAGAAUUGAUUAGCCAGCGAAUAAAUUGACAAGCCCGAACAUCUGUUCGGGCUUUUUUUAUU